rnacentral:misc_RNA from 1 species
AACUUUGGGCAACGGAUCACUUGGCUCUCGCACCGAUGAAGAACGCAGCGAAAUGCGAUAAGUAAUGUGAAUUGCAGAAUUCAGUGAAUCAUCGAAUCUUUGAACGCACCUUGCACCCUUUGGUAUUCCGAAGGGUACGCCUGUUUGAGUGUCAUUGUAAUCUCACACCAAUCACUUCUAGUGAUUGGAGGUGGACUUGGACCUUGUCGUGUCAUUAUGACUGGUCUGAAAUGUAUGAGUGUACCCUGCCUUUGCAGCAUCUUCAGUGUGAUAAGCAUCUUCACUGAUAUCAAGCUCCUUCGGGACAUGCGAGCAUUGUGGGCUCUACACUUCCAACCGUCCUUGGACAAGCUUUGACAAUUUGACCUCAAAUCAGGUGGGACUACCCGCUGAACUUAAGCAUAUCAAUAAGCGGAGGCU